AUUGAACGCUGGCGGCAGGCCUAACACAUGCAAGUCGAGCGGAGCGGCGGACGGGUGGGUAAUGCCUAGGAAUCUGCCCGGCAGUGGGGGAUAACGUCCGGUAACGGGCGCUAAUACCGCAUACUACCAGAUGAGCCUAGGCCGGAUUAGCUAGCUGGUGGGGUAAGGGCCUACCAAGGCGACGAUGCGUAACUGAUCUGAGAGGAUGAUCAGUCACACUGGAACUGAGACACGGUCCAGACUCCUACGGGAGGCAGCAGUGGGGAAUAUUGAACAAUGGGCGAAAGCCUGAUGCAGCCAUGCCGCGUGUGUGAAGAAGGUCUUCGGAUUGUAAAGCACUUUAAGUUGGGAGGCGGUACCUACAGAAUAAGCACCGGCUAACUACGUGCCAGCAGCCGCGGUAAUUC
rnacentral:rRNA from 1 species